rnacentral:rRNA from 1 species
UUACGGACGUUGAAACACCAGUUCCCGUACGAUCACCGAAGUUAAGCAACGUCAAGUCUAUUCAGUACCUAGAUGGGUGACCGCUUGAGAAUACAAGGUGUUGUAAG